rnacentral:ncRNA from 2 species
UACCACAGGGAUAACUGGC